rnacentral:rRNA from 1 species
AGUGAACGCUGGCGGUAGGCCUAACACAUGCAAGUCGAACGGCAGCACAGUAAGAGCUUGCUCUUACGGGUGGCGAGUGGCGGACGGGUGAGGAAUACAUCGGAAUCUACUUUUUCGUGGGGGAUAACGUAGGGAAACUUACGCUAAUACCGCAUACGACCUACGGGUGAAAGCAGGGGAUCUUCGGACCUUGCGCGAUUGAAUGAGCCGAUGUCGGAUUAGCUAGUUGGCGGGGUAAAGGCCCACCAAGGCGACGAUCCGUAGCUGGUCUGAGAGGAUGAUCAGCGACACUGGAACUGAGCCACGGUCCCGCGUCCUACGGGAGGCAGCAGUGUGGAAUAUUGGACAAUGGGCGCAAGCCUGAUCCAGCCAUAGCGCGUGAGUGACGAAGGCCUUCGGGUUGUAAAGCCCUUUUGUUGGGAAAGAAAAGCAGCAGGUUAAUACCCCGCUGUUCUGACGGUACCCAAAGAAUAAGCACCGGCUAACUUCGUG